CUGCCUACGGGAGGCAGCAGUAGGGAAUCUUCCACGAUGGACGAAAGUCUGAUGGAGCAACGCCGCGUGAGUGAAGAAGGGUUUCGGCUCGUAAAGCUCUGUUGGUAGUGAAGAAAGAUAGAGGUAGUAACUGGCCUUUAUUUGACGGUAAUUACUUAGAAAGUCACGGCUAACUACGUGCCAGCAGCCGCGGUAAUACGUAGGUGGCAAGCGUUGUCCGGAUUUAUUGGGCGUAAAGCGAGUGCAGGCGGUUUCAAAAAUCUGAUGUGAAAGACUUCUG
rnacentral:rRNA from 1 species